rnacentral:rRNA from 1 species
AGAAUCAACGCUGGCGGCGUGCCUAACACAUGCAAGUCGAACGAGAAAGGGUAGCAAUACCUGAGUAAAGUGGCGCACGGGUAAGUAACACGUGACUAACCUACCUUUUAGUGGGGGAUAACCUAGGGAAACCUGGGCUAAUACCGCAUAAUACCUACGGGUCAAAGCAGCAAUGCGCUGAAAGAGGGGGUCGCGGUCGAUUAGUUAGUUGGCAGGGUAAUGGCCUACCAAGACUGUGAUCGAUAUCCGGCCUGAGAGGGCGCACGGACACACUGGAACUGAAACACGGUCCAGACUCCUACGGGAGGCAGCAGUGGGGAAUUUGCGCAAUGGGGGAAACCCUGACGCAGCAACGCCGCGUGGAGGAUGAAGUCCCUUGGGACGUAAACUCCUUUCGAUCGGGACGAUAAUGACGGUACCGGAAGAAGAAGCCCGGCUAACUUCGCGCCAGCAGCCGC